UUACACGUUAUUGUAUAUUACUUAAAUUGCAUGUUACAUGAGAAAUAAAUUAUGGUCAGACUAAUGUUUUUAUAGUAAUAUAAUACACUAUAUUUACAAACCAUUUCAGAAAUCUGGUAAGGCAUAUGUAAGGCAGGAUUCGAAUCCUAAAAAAAAAUCAAACACAAAAGCGGUCUCAUUCAAAAUAAACGAGUAGUUUCGUCCUUGGGUUUUAAAUGAAGUCUCGCGAGAGCGCGGACGAGCAGAAUGCGGAAACUGGCGUGCGAUUGUCUGGCUGCGAUAUUAAAAUUGAAACUGGGUGAUACAGUAUAGCGCUUUAUAACAUACAGACACGACGAUGUUUUUCUUCUGUUUAAUUCAAUAGUAAGAUGUUUACGUUAUUUGUUGGUUUUGUUGAGCCAUUAAGGCGGAUUAAAACAACUGUAUUGGAUUUAUUUUUAAAUAAAAAAAAUGUUGAUGGAGAUCAAUACGCGUUUAGAAACUAUUGAGAGCCGAAGCGGUGGAUAAUGCGUUAUAUACGACCUACAUUGCGACGGGCAGGCAACAAAUUAAGGCCGUGAUCAUCAAAGUUCCAGCAGCAGUUGACAUGAGAUGAGUGGAGACUGGACAUGGAGAAACGAAGGCAUUCAUUAGUGUACUUGAAUGUCUCAGCUUGAUCUAUAACAAACACUAUGAAAACUCCACAAAUUGGCUUGUAAUUUUCUAAUAUAAAUAGGUCAUGUGAGGGAAACAUUUAUUGAGAAUGAUGUGUUUUGCAAGUGUUUAUUCCUGUUAAAAAUGUAACCGAAAUUGCAUUGACCUUGAUUGACAUUUUACACACAAAUGCUUUCAGUUUAAACAGAUAGAGUAAGUAAAGGAAAAACAGAUUCCAGAGACAUUAAACAGAAUAUUUGUAGAUCCAAACUAAAUGCUCAUGCAUUUUGUCUGUGUUAAUGUAAUUUGUGGCCAUGUAUAGAAAGAUUCUUUUAUUUUGAGUUUACGUUUGGUCACUGAUGUAGUAGUGCUUACUAUUGUGGUGUUUAAAGGAAAAUAAAACUAAUUUGAUAAAUCCUA